AUUGAACGCUGGCGGCAGGCCUAACACAUGCAAGUCGAGCGGAGCGGCGGUCGGGGGAGUAAUGCCAAGGCAUAUGACUGGUACUGGUGGAUAACGUCAGGAAACGGGCGCUAAUACCGCAUACUAUCAGAUGAGGCUAGGCCGGAUUAGUUAGUUGGGGGGGUAAAGGCAUACCAAGUCGACGACCAGUAACUGGUCUGAGAGGAUGAGCAGUCACACUUGAACUGAGCCACGGUCCAGACGCCUACGGGAGGCAGCAGUGGGGAAUAUUGGACAAUGGGCGAAAGCCUGAUCCAGCCAGGCCGCGUGUGUGAAGAAGGUCUUCGGAUUGUAAAGCACGUUAAGUUGGGAGGCGUUACCAACAGAAUAAGCACCGGCUAACUUCGUGCCAGCAGCCGCGGUAAUUC
rnacentral:rRNA from 1 species